rnacentral:lncRNA from 1 species
AUGGACUGUACCUGGGGGAUCCACUUCUUGGUGGCAGCUGCCACAGGUGUCCAUUCCCAGGUUCAGCUGUUGCAGCCUGGGGCUGAGGUGAAGAAGCCUGGGUCCUCAGUGAAGGUCUCCUGCCAGGCUUCCAGAUACACCUUCACCAAAUACUUUACACGGUGGGUGUGACAAAGCCCUGGACAAGGGCAUAGUGGAUGGGAUGAAUCAACCCUUACAAUGAUAACACACACUAUGCACAGACGUUCUGGGGCAGAGUCACCAUUACCAGUGACAGGUCCAUGAGCACAGCCUACAUGGAGCUGAGCAACCUGAGAUCUGAAGACAUGGUCAUGUAUUACUGUGUGAGAGA